CCUACGGGUGGCAGCAGUGAGGAAUAUUGGUCAAUGGCCGAGAGGCUGAACCAGCCAAGUCGCGUGAGGGAAGACGGCCCUACGGGUUGUAAACCUCUUUUGUCGGGGAGCAAAGAGAGUCACGUGUGACUCAUUGAGAGUACCCGAAGAAAAAGCAUCGGCUAACUCCGUGCCAGCAGCCGCGGUAAUACGGAGGUGGCAAGCGUUGUCCGGAUUUACUGGGUGUAAAGGGCGUGUAGCCGGGCCGGCAAGUCAGAUGUGAAAUCCCAAGGCUCAACCUUGGAACUGCAUUUGAAACUGUUGGUCUUGAGUAUCGGAGAGGCAGGCGGAAUUCCUAGUGUAGCGGUGAAAUGCGUAGAUAUUAGGAGGAACACCAGUGGCGAAGGCGGCCUGCUGGACGACAACUGACGGUGAGGCGCGAAAGCGUGGGGAGCAAACAGGAUUAGAUACCCCAGUAGUC
rnacentral:rRNA from 1 species